rnacentral:rRNA from 1 species
GACAUAGGUGGCGAACGUUAUCCGGAAUUACUGGGCGUAAAGCGUGCGCAGGCGGUUCGUUAAGUCAGAUGUGAAAGCCCCGGGCUCAACCUGGGAACUGCAUUUGAAACUGGCGGGCUUGAGUGCGGCAGAGGGGGGUGGAAUUCCGCGUGUAGCAGUGAAAUGCGUAGAGAUGCGGAGGAACACCGAUGGCGAAGGCAGCCCCCUGGGCCGACACUGACGCUCAGGCACGAAAGCGUGGGGAGCAAACAGG